AUUGAACGCUGGCGGCAGGCUUAACACAUGCAAGUCGAGCGGGGUGAUGGUGCUUGCACUAUCACUUAGCGGCGGACGGGUGAGUAAUGCUUAGGAAUCUGCCUAUAGUGGGGGACAACAUCUCGAAAGGGAUGCUAAUACCGCAUACGUCCUACGGGAGAAAGCAGGGGAUCACUUGUGACCUUGCGCUAAUAGAUGAGCCUAAGUCGGAUUAGCUAGUUGGUGGGGUAAAGGCCCACCAAGGCGACGAUCUGUAGCGGGUCUGAGAGGAUGGUCCGCCACACUGGGACUGAAACACGGCCCAGACUCCUCAGGGAGGCAGCAGUGGGGAAUAUUGGACAAUGGGGGGAACCCUGAUCCAGCCAUGCCGCGUGUGUGAAGAAGGCCUUAUGGUUGUAAAGCACUUUAAGCGAGGAGGAGGCUUACCUAGUUAAUACCUGGGAUAAGUGGACGUUACUCGCAGAAUAAGCACCGGCUAACUCUGUGCCAGCCGCCGCGGUAA
rnacentral:rRNA from 1 species